AUCACAUCAUUCAAGGAAAAAGCCUGAGUAUCCUCAUCUCUGCACCUUCCUACCCCAAAUUCCUGUUGGACAGUUUGGCACACUCCCUGCACUGUUAGAUCUGCAUGGGUUACCUGGCUUCAGCAUUAUCAAUAUUCAAUCCAUCAAUGUGCAAAUCCUACUCGGGGAAAUAAAUAUCCAUAACAUGUUUUGCUGAGACUCCCAACCAAAAGAAGGGCAGACGAUGCUCCUAGCUGGACUGUACAGACCAUUGGAAGUAAGAGCUUCUGAAACAGCUUCAUGAUUGAGAAUUUGUGUCUCAUUGAGAAUUUGUGUCUCAUUAAUCUUUUAAACAGAAUAGUGUGAGCUGAGCAUGAAAAGAUAAUGGAGCUCCCAAUAGCAUCCUUGGCCCUGCCCUUAGGACAAGGGUAGCAGUGCUUGGGCCUGAUUAAAAAGUCAUUUAGGUGCAAGUGGUAUUCUCUGGAGAUGCCUAAAAUACCACAGGAUAUGUUCACUGAAGGACAUAACUGCCCUACAGCUACUGGAUGCAAAAUGGAGAUCCCUCUCUUGUCCUGCUUGGCUGCUUCUCUUUCUGCAGGCAUUUGAGUGGUGGUGCCUGGGUGUUGCUCGUGUUUCACUUUGGAUGGAUCUGAAGGUUAAGGCGCUUGGAGCUGCAGGAAGUGCCACCCAAACCUGACUGCUUUUGCUGUGCUGUGAGUUGGAGGAAAGAGCUGUUUCUGAUCCACAUGCUGUGACUGGUCUGUCCAGCAUAAGGAGGGUUUUGCCCAUAAAACUAGAGAGUGCUGAAGAGAGUCGGCAGCAUGGUGUACGAAAUUGGGU
rnacentral:lncRNA from 1 species